rnacentral:pre_miRNA from 1 species
UACCGAGGUUUUCCUCGGCAGUUAACUGCAGCCGGAAUUCAAAUUUCUCGGUAGUUAACUGCCGAGAGGGCAA